CUCUCACUGGCAAUCUGUCCAUGAGGAAUGGACGUGGACAUGUCUUCUGAAUGUGGAAGCUUGGCUCGCCUCUUCUUCUUCUGUGGUUUUGAAGCUUCACUGCCAGCAAAGAGGGAUUAAUAAUGCAU